rnacentral:rRNA from 1 species
UACCGCAUACGACCUACGGGAGAAAGGGGGCAGUUUACUGCUCUCGCUAUUAGAUGAGCCUAAGUCGGAUUAGCUAGAUGGUGGGGUAAAGGCCUACCAUGGCGACGAUCUGUAGCUGGUCUGAGAGGAUGAUCAGCCACACCGGGACUGAGACACGGCCCGGACUCCUACGGGAGGCAGCAGUGGGGAAUAUUGGACAAUGGGGGGAACCCUGAUCCAGCCAUGCCGCGUGUGUGAAGAAGGCCUUUUGGUUGUAAAGCACUUUAAGCAGUGAAGAAGACCUAACGGUUAAUACCCGUUAGCGAUGACAUUAGCUGCAGAAUAAGCACCGGCUAACUCUGUGCCAGCAGCCGCGGUAAUACAGAGGGUGCAAGCGUUAAUCGGAAUUACUGGGCGUAAAGCGAGCGUAGGUGGCUUGAUAAGUCAGAUGUGAAAUCCCCGGGCUUAACCUGGGAACUGCAUCUGAUACUGUUAAGCUAGAGUAGGUGAGAGGGAAGUAGAAUUCCAGGUGUAGCGGUGAAAUGCGUAGAGAUCUGGAGGAAUACCGAUGGCGAAGGCAGCUUCCUGGCAUCAUACUGACACUGAGGCUCGAAAGCGUGGGUAGCAAACAGGAUUAGAUACCCCUGGUAGUCCACGCCGUAAACGAUGUCUACUAAGUCGUUGGGUCCCUUGAGGACUUAGUGACGCAGCUAACGCAAUAAGUAGACCGCCCUGGGGGAG